CAAUCACCGCCUUCUUUUAAGGUACCAUCAUCUUCUCCUGCUUUGAUGCCUACAAAAAUAGGCUCUGAAACUCUGCCUUCCCCACUCACACCCUGGCCUUUCUGCAACGCUUAGUCCUUGCUGCAGUCAGUUCAGAAUGUUACUUUAUGACCCGAGCUUGGCUGGCCAGACUGUGACAUCACCUGACCAGUGUGACUGGUUCAGGGAUGGGCUGGAAGCUAAGCUAGGAGAUAAUUAUAACUCCAUCCAUUAAGCACUUACUAUGUGCCAGACACGUAACAUCCAGCACUUCAAUUGGCUCUCCAAGCAGCCUUGUGGGGUCAGCACUCUUCUUGCUAGAGGGGCUAAAUGACCUGUCGAAGGAACCUGAUAAGGGUUUCCCCCAGAGUGCACCAGGGUACUUCCUGAGUUGGUGACACCCCUCCAUGUGGAAAGAAGAGCAAACCAAAUGACAGAGACAGAGUGAGGCAGUGUUGCCAUCCAGAACAGAAGGAGAGGUCCCCUCCUUUCUCCAUUUGUGCCCAACAACUGUGUCUGAGGACUAACAGGUGUCAGACACAUUGGAGGCUCCGGAGAUACAGCUGUGACAAGGCGGACACAGGGCCCCAUGCCUUCAGACUCACAUUCUGUAGGGACAGGACGCCAAGAAACAGUCUCACACAGAAACCACAAAGAUUGGCAGCCACCACCAGAAGUCAGCAAGAGGCAAGGAGAUACUUGCUGGAGUUUGAGAGAAGAAUAUGGCCCAGCUGAUACCUUGACUUGAGGCUUCUGACCUCCAGAAAUGGGAGCGAACGUUUCUGUUGUUUUCAGGCACCCGUGUUUGUAACAGCCA
rnacentral:lncRNA from 1 species